rnacentral:rRNA from 1 species
GUCUAUGGCCAUGCUACCCUGACCACACCCGAUACACCCGAUCCUGUCUGAUCUCCGAAGCUAAGCAGGGUCAGGCCUGGUUAGUACUUGGAUGGGAGACCACCUAGGAAGACCAGGUGCUGUAGGAG